ACAUUGCGCAUGCUCACCGGCCUCAGCCCCGCGCCCGCCGUCAGCGUCGAGACGCAGGUGCGUGCCAGUCGAGGCUCGCUUUGCGGGCGUGUUUGGGGAUUGCCUGGCAGGGUGUUUGGGCGCCGCGGGCUGACGUGCAGGGGCGUGCAGCCGCCCAGGCCUCAUGCAGUGACUCGUGUCGUGAGGGCCGAGUCCCGCGCCGGGUUCGCUGUAGUCCGCAGCCGCUGGCGGCUUUGUGGGUGCAGCCACGCUCCUCAGCCGCCCGCCCACCUGGGCCUGGGACCCGGUCGUUUCCCUGCGUGUCUGUGGUCGUUCCCGUUCCAGGGUCUCGAGCGCACCGCCCCUUCGCUGCGCUUUUAGUCGAGGGCAGUUUUCUGGGGCAUUCCCCGGUCCCCCUGUGCCUCUCGGGCGUCCUGGCCCGCGGAAGCGUGGGCGCCGACUGCCUGGCGUCGUCCGUGACUCCUGGCCCCUCUCUGUGGAUCCCUUUGCUUCUCGCUGCGGGUUGUGUUUCCUGUUUCGUGGGCCUGGCCGUUUGCGUUGGAUGCGGGCCCCGGUGAUCCCUGCGUGGCCCGCUGGCCUUUUCCUGCUCCCGAGGUGACUGAGCCGCGUGUGACACAUCGCAGUGACGAGGCAACGCGUUCCUUUCCAGGCUUGCAGCAGGCGAUGCUGUACACGCUCCUGAGCGGAGCCUUCCGGUGCUUUACUCGACGCCCCAACUCGACGCCCCAAAUAGUGCGCUGUUACUCCCAGGGACUGCCGCGAGCUGGAACUCUUCCCCGCCCCUGUGAGCUCGGGGCUGUUCUUUCUCCGGUUGGCUCACUCCAGCCUCGAUGUUUCCUCGCUGCCCAGACCUGCUCGGGAAGACUCGAGAAGGCCGCUCCAGGACUCCAGCUCUCCACGGAAGGGCUUCCCCUCGGAUUGCGUCUUGGCCCCUGGAACCCUCUCUCUGUAUCCUCUGCUGUUACUCUGUUGGCCUCCAUUUGGGUUGUGGCCUGGAAACUCCUGGCUCGCUGCUUCCCUUCUCUUAAGGAUCACAGCCCUGCACUGCCUGUCGUCCAAUGCCUGGAAACCAUUGUAUUUUUUGGUCUGAUUUUGUAGUUGUUUAAGAACUUAAAUCUGGUCCCUCACACUCCAUGACCAGAAGCAGAAAUCAGCAGAAGUUUGUUUUUUCUUAAAAUGACGAUUACUUCAUUGUGUUGGUUCAAUUUACUUUAAUUAGAAGAAAUUUGGCUGAAAAUACAAAGAAAAUAUACAAAUGCAAGUAAUUUUUUUUUAAACUUCCCUGAAAGCAAGGUCUGAAGAAAUUACCAACCAACUUAGACUGGAUCUGGAAGAAAAGGAGGGGUCCUUGCAGUCUUAGGACUCUUCCAUUCCGCGACGUAGGUGUUAGGUUAACAGCCAUAAAUGGUUGUAAGACUUUGGGCUCAGAUAAGUAGACUUAAGUUCAAAUUUUGACUUACUUUACAAGUAUCUGAUUUGUGGCAAGCUCAUCUUCCUAAACCAUGAGCUCCUUAUUUGUAAAGGGGACAUUAGCCACUCUCCAGCAAAGCAACAGCCCUGGCGCUUCUUCAGUCCUGGGAUGGGACGUAUGACUAGCCUAAGCAAACCAGAAAAUCCAAGCCCCUGACCACAGCGACUUAAAUCAGGGCUGGCGAUAUAUCUAGGUAGGCCAACCAGGUGGACUCAGUAUUUUUGUGGGUGCUACUGGAAAAUUUCUUCAAUUCUAACUGAAUGUAGAAAUGAGAACAGACAUGAAAUGGCGGCUGUGUUGCUGUCUUGUCAUCAUGAGACGGAGUUUCACUCUUGUUGCCCAGGCUGGAGUGUAAUGGCCUGAUUUCAGCUCACUGCAACCUCUACCUCCUGGGUUCAAGCAAUUCUUCUGCCUCAGCCUCCCAAGUAGCUGGGAUUGCAGAUUUGUAUAUGUUGAGCCAUUCUUGCAUCCCUGGGAUAAAGACAAAUAAAAUCAGAAAUGAAAGAGGAGACAUUACAACAGAUACCACAGAAAUACAAAGGAUCAUAAGAGACUACCGUGAAGAAUUAUAUGCCAACACAAUAGACAACCAAGAAGAAAUGGAUAAGUUGCUAGACACAUACAGCCUACUAAGACUGAAUCAUGAAGAACCAGAACAUCUGAAUAGAUCAAUAAUGAGAAAGGAGAUUUGAAUCAGUAAUAAAACAUCUCCCAUCAAAGAAAAGCCCAAGACCUAAUGGCUUCACUGCUGAAUCUUACUGAAUAGUUAGAGAAGAACUAACACCCAUCCUUCUCAAACCCUUCCUAAAACAUUGAAGAAGAGAGAAUACGUUCUUCUCUUUCUUUCCUUUUUUUGUAUGAUUCCAUUUAUGUAAAAUGUCCAUAGUAGGCAAACCCAUACAGACAAAAAGUAGAUUGGUGGUUGCCUGGGGCUGAGGGAGGGAGAAAAUUAAAUGACUGUUAAUGGGUAUGGAAUUUCUUUUGGGUUUGAUGAAAAUGUCCUAGAAUUGGAUAGUAGUGAUGCACAGUUUUCUGAAUAUAAUAAAGACUUCUGAAUUGUACACUC
rnacentral:lncRNA from 1 species